AGCAGCCGCGGUAAUUCCAGCUCCAAUAGCGUAUAUUAAAGUUGUUGCAGUUAAAAAGCUCGUAGUUGAAUUUCGGGACCAAUAUGUCGGUCGUGCCUCGGUACGUACUGGUGUCAUUGGUUUCUCCCUUCUGAGGAUCCUUGAUGUCAUUAAUUUGGUGUCUUGGGGAAUCAGGACUGUUACCUUGAAAAAAUUAGAGUGUUUAAAGCAGGCAUACGCUUGAAUACAUUAGCAUGGAAUAAUGAAAUAGGACGUUCGAUUCUAUUUUGUUGGUUUCUAGGAUCGACGUAAUGAUUAAUAGGGAUAGUUGGGGGCAUUAGUAUUCAAUUGUCAGAGGUGAAAUUCUUGGAUUUAUUGAAGACUAACUACUGCGAAAGCAUUUGCCAAGGAUGUUUUCAUUAAUCAGAACGAAAGUUAGGGGAUCGAAGACGAUCAGAUACCGUCGUAGUCUUAACCAUAAACUAUGCCGACUAGGGAUCGGAUGAUGUUAAUUUUUUAAUGACUCA
rnacentral:rRNA from 1 species